GCCCCUGCUUGCUAGGCUACAUGUUUCAACGUAUGUGUGUGUGUCUUUGCAGUGGAUGUGUGCCGCAAGCGGUUGAAGGGGCUUAGGGACAGACAGAUAGACAGGCGCUCCGAAGCUGAGAUGGAGCGCCUGUAUUUCGUGUCCAGGCGGGAGAUGCUGCUUCCCACUCGGGCGAAGAGGUCCUCGAACUGCGCCGUCGACACACGGAAAUACCGCUGGAGGCGGCCGUCGUCCAGGCGGAGUUCCUGGAGCAAGCGGUGAAAGUCACCCAGCUCCGUCCUCCUCCGGAUGGUUUCAUGCACCCAUAAACGCCGGCGGCGUCUACUGCGUAUGUACAGAUAUGCGGCAGCACUGAUGAACUGAAAACUGAGCUAGUGACAUGGAUGAUGUCACCGGCGACCAGCUGCGACCUGCGACUGCAGCUUUGGACCCGGUGUGAACACACCAGAGCACCCCGCGACGCGACGUGACCGACCAAAGCGACGCGACGCGACCUGGUCGCGUUUGGUCUGAACGCGGCUUAACGUUUAAAUAAAUAUCUGUUCAAACCGUUCAGCUCUUUGCACAAACAAGACAAUUACAAAAACAAAGUUUGGGAUUUAUGGACAGGUUCUGGAGCACUAACUCUUCAGAGUUUGACUUUUAAGAGUUUGUGGGAAGAAAGUGACGCACACAGAGAAGUUUUACUUGUGUCUACUUGUUGACUGUGGUUGACCAAAAG